ACGCUCGACACCUACGGGGGGCAGCAGUGGGGAAUAUUGGGCAAUGGAGGAAACUCUGACCCAGCAACGCCGCGUGAAUGAUGAAGGUCUUUGGAUUGUAAAGUUCUUUUCUAAGGGACGAAGAAAGUGACGGUACCUUAGGAAUAAGCCUCGGCUAACUACGUGUCCAGCAGCCGCGGUAAUCUGAGGCGGGCUGGCAAGGC
rnacentral:rRNA from 1 species